rnacentral:rRNA from 1 species
AGCGAACGCUGGCGGCAGGCUUAACACAUGCCAGUCGAGCGGGCAUCCUUGUGGUGUCAGCGGCAGACGGGUGAGUAACGCGUGGGAACGUGCCCUUCGGUUCGGAAUAACUCAGGGAAACUUGAGCUAAUACCGGAUACGUGCGAGAGCAGAAAGGUUUAUCUGCCGAAGGAUCGGCCCGCGUCUGAUUAGCUAGUUGGUGAGGUUAUGGCUCACCAAGGCGACGAUCAGUAGCUGGUCUGAGAGGAUGAUCAGCCACACUGGGACUGAGACACGGCCCAGACUCCUACGGGAGGCAGCAGUGGGGAAUAUUGGACGAUGGGGGCAACCCUGAUCCAGCCAUGCCGCGUGAGUGAUGACGGCCUUAGGGUUGUAAAGCUCUUUUCUCCGGGACGAUAAUGACGGUACCGGAGGAAUAAGCCCCGGCUAACUUCGUG